GCUGUUUUUCACUGCUGCUGGGGCAUGAAAAAAUAGACUAUUAAAAAGCUUUAUAGAAAAUUAAACCCAUGUGGAAACAUCUGUCAUCUCCAGUCGAUGGGCAUUAGCCAGUUUAAGAAAGAACAGGAUACCUUUUUCACAUUCACUUGCAGAUGGUAAGUGCCUGCUGUGAACCAAACUACAUAUGGGUCUCCACACAGAAAACACAUGUUAAAAGAAACAUAUCAAAACAUUAAUGCACAUUUUGCCAACAUUUCUUACCUUUG